rnacentral:rRNA from 1 species
AUUGAACGCUGGCGGCAGGCCUAACACAUGCAAGUCGAACGAGUGGCGGACGGGUGAGUAAUGCCUGGGAAACUGCCUGACGGACGGGGAUAACUACUGGAAACGGUAGCUAAUACCCCAUACCAUCAGAUGUGCCCAGAUGGGAUUAGCUAGUUGGUGGGGUAACGGCUCACCAAGGCGACGAUCCCUAGCUGGUCUGAGAGGGUGACCAGCCACACUGGAACUGAGACACGGUCCAGACUCCUACGGGAGACAGCAGUGGGGAGUAUUGCACAAUGAGCGCAAGCCUGAUGCGGCCAUGCCGGGUGUAUGAAGAAGGCCUUCGGGUUAUAAAGUACUUUCAGCGGGGAGGCGUUACCCACAGAGGAAGCACCGGCUAACUCCGUGCCAGCAGCCGCGGUAAUAC